CCACUUCUCAUCUUAUUGAAUUGUAAAGGGUCAUUAUAUUAACAUGUAAAUCAGCUUCACAGCCACAGCUGAAAAGCCUGCUACUGUGACUCAAACUCCUGUCGCAGAGAAACCUGAGCAACAGAGUCCAAUGGUGAUGUCACAGAAGCAGAGAAUUUCUGAUUUAAUUCUCCAGUGUGCAAAGUCUGGCCCUGUUGCAGAGGAUGGAGGUUGGUGGGGAGCAUUAUAUGGUUCAAUGUUGUGGGACCACCAAGUGACUCUGGCCAAGAACCCAUGCCAUGGCCCUCUCACCUCCAGGAAGGAUUAG
rnacentral:lncRNA from 1 species